AAGGAAGGAAGGAAGAAGGAAGAAGGAAGGAAGGAAGGAAGGAAGGAAGGAAGGAAGGAAGGAAGGAAGGAGUCCUAGUUACCCUUCUACUACCAUCAGAAGACAAUCUGAUCAAGGCAACUUAUAAGAGAAACAUUCAACUGGGGCUUUGUACAGUUUAAGAUGGCUACUCCAUACUCGGCUUGGCAGGAAGAGACAGAUGGAGCUGUCCACCCUGAUCCACAGGCAGAAGGCAAAGCACGGGCACUUGGGGGAGGGCGAGGAGGAAGGAGGGAUUGGACUUUUGAAACCUCAAGGCCCACUCCUAGUCACACACUCCUCCUAUAAAGCCACACCCCCUAAUUCUUCCCAAAGGGUUCCACUCUCUGAUGACUAUUCAAAUAUCUGAGCCCACAGGGGCCCAUUUCAUUCAAACCACCAGGGAAAGGUUUAGUCUGCUCGUAGUCUGAGGGGAGAGUCCUUCAUCGUGGGGGACUCACUGCGGCUGGAGCGGGAGGCAGCUGGUCCCGCCACAUCCCUAGUAGGCAGGCAGAGAGGGAAAUGCUGAGGCUCACCUUGGCCCCCCCCCCCUUUUUCUUUGCAAAGGCAGGGAUCCCAGUCCAAAUUCAGGGUGGGUUUUCCCACCUCAACUAACCCAAUCUAAAAACAAACAAACAAACAAACAAAACUGGCCUCAGCUUCUCAGAUGUUCUUGGGAAGUUUGUCUCCUUAGUAAUUCUAAAGUCUGUCAAAUUGAUAGCAUUAGCUAUCCCACAGGCCAGUUGCACACAGCUUUUCUGUGGGCUGUAAGACCUGCUGAGAACAAUGUAGCAAAGGGGGGGGGGGGACAGCAAAGCUUUUGCCUUCAUCCAGGAGGCUGCCCUCCGGCAUCAGAAUACACAGACUGGAAAUGGCUUGUCAGCUACUGUUAAUGUCUCCACCCAUCAAACUUCUACUUUCUUUCUUUGACUUUUAAACUUGAGGGGAGAAUGGUCUCAGCUGUUGUCUACAAUUAGGCUACUUUUUUUCUUGAGCUUUCUCUCCUAAUCCAGAGCUUCCUCUCCCGGCCUCCAGCCUUCUGAUGAACUUCCCAAAGCCAAGGUUGCGUAACGGAUACACAGGCCUAUCUUGUGUUAUACUGGGAGGCUGGCCAAUCUUUCCAUUUAUAGACACGAGCACUGCUGUGCUGCCAAAUGGAGCGCGGGGCUGGUGUGGCUACAAGACAGAGAAAGGAAAGAGCUGGGCUCUUUUAGGGCUUACGGGGAACCCUUGAACCUCCUCCGCUAGCCUGGGGACAGCAGCUGAGGAGACUCUCCAUCUGAGAGGAGAGUCUUCCGAAUAGCUACCCAUUUCCAUCCCGCCAAACACUGCCACAGGAGGGGCGGGGCAGCCUGCUCUGCUGGCCCCGUGACAGCUGGGCCCAUCUGUAGGCAAGCCACUUGAGUAUGUGAGGCUGAGGAGGCGGCUGCUGUAGACCACUGCCCUUUGGGUAAGACGCGGUGGUUGCCCUCUUGAACUCAGCAGCUGGGACUACCAGGAGGAAACAUGCCUGCGAUUGGACCUGUUACCGUUCCAUCAUGCAGUGGGUGGGACUGACAAGACUCCGCCCCUCCUUGAGGAUACUCAUAAUGUUACUGGGAAAGUGAGAGACGAUUCCUUCAGUGGUAUAGCUGCUCGUUCAAAGGUAAAAGAGGAUUUGACUGCGAGUCUACAUGGGAUUGCAGAUUUCUAGCUGAGUGGAGGAGAAGAGGAGGACCCACCAUUGGAAGGCAAAGGGUGAGCUGCUUGCCUGGGUGUGUGGGAACCCAUCACACAGUGUACUCAGGUGAGUACACUGGGGAGAAUGACUAGCAAGAGACAGGCCCAGGCACAGGCAAGAGAUGUGAUGUGACCAGGAGACAACAGGAGCUAGAAUAGGCUCUCAGAUGACAAAUGCAUCGUUCUGUUGUAGGUGUCAGAUAGAGCAGAGAUUAGACUGGGACAGUAGGAGGAAAAUGGGAGGAAGGAUGGGGAGGCAGGCCUGGAGUAAUCCAGUCUGCCUGUGAAAUGAAUCUGGUUUCUCUCUGAGGAUGGAGUCCAGCCCUUUGCUAGGCAUGAUCCAGCAAAGCUCUGCAGUCUCUGCACCACACGCAAAGGCCACUUUCCGGCCCACAUAGUCACAUCUCAGACUCGCUUCUCAUCUGCUAUUUUCCCAUUGCUUGAGCCCACGUGACCACUAGAGAUCUGGCAGAGAUGUAAGCCUUGUCUACAAAUCAAGUGUAGACCUAGGGUGGUGCAUGCCUGCAAUCCCAGAACUCAGAGAGCUGAGGCAGGAGGAUCAUCAGUUUGAGGCCAGUCUGUCUCACAUACUGAGGAUCUGUUUCAAAAUUAAACAAAUAAAACAACAAGGUAGAUAAGUUAAUUCCAGUGUGCCAUAUACUUCCCAGUCUUCAAUAACUCAUUGCUCCAGCUGGGGAGAUAACUCAGGGGUCAAAGCAUUUGCCAUGUAAGCACAAAUCCUAGAGUUUGAGUCCUCAGCAUCAUAUAAAUGUGGGGUAGGUGUGCUGGUCCAUCUACAAUUCUAGCAACAAGAUGGCAGAGAUGAGAUCUCAGAGCAAGCUGGCUGGCUACUUUGCUGACUAGCUGGCUGGUCGGAUUGCCAAGCUCUGGGUUCACCUGAGAGACCCCGCCUCAAUGAAAAAAAAUGUGGAAAGUGUCAAGACAGUAGUUAACCCGGUCUCCACUGUGGAUCAUCAGACUUCGCAGACUUGGCCAUCAGCCUCAGAGCUUCUCAGACACCGAAACCGCACAGCCCUUGGCAGAGCUUCUCAGACACCGAAACCGCACAGCCCUUGGCCCCAUUCUCCAUAACAGGCUCCUCACACAGCAAGCCCUUCUCGGAGUUUGUAAUGGAAAAGAUGAAAUCUUUCCCACCAUCUCCAUCUCAGAACAGAAGGGUAGGAAGCCAGAGCCACCUGCCAUGCCCCAGCCAGUGCCUACGGCAUCAUGGGGCCAUGGCAGAUGCAUCUGGAGGCUGUUCUAUGAAGACGGUUAAUAAAAUCCUAUGCAAGGACUUUUUAAAAAUGUGGAAAGUGAUCAAGGAAGACCCUUCAUGUCAACAGUGGUCCUCGAUAUGCACACACAGUAGUGCAUGUGGACCUACACACACAUACACACCACACACACACACACACACACACACACACA